rnacentral:rRNA from 1 species
CCUACGGGAGGCAGCAGUAAGGAAUCUUCCGCAAUGGGCGAAAGCCUGACGGAGCAACGCCGCGUGGGCGAUGAAGGCCUUCGGGUCGUAAAGCCCUUUUCUGUGGGACGAUAAUGACGGUACCACAGGAAUAAGCCACGGCUAACUACGUGCCAGCAGCCGCGGUAAUACAUAGGUGGCUAGCGUUAUCCGGAUUCACUGGGCGUAAAGAGCGCGUAGGCGGUGUGCUAAGUUGGACGUGAAAGCCCCCGGCUUAACCGGGGGAGGUCGUCCAAUACUGGUGGUCUUGAGGCGUGGAGAGGGAAGUGGAAUUCCUGGUGUAGCGGGGAAAUGCGUAGAUAUCAGGAGGAACACCCGUGGCGAAGGCGGCUUCCUGGCCAUGGCCUGACGCUGAGGUGCGAAAGCCAGGGGAGCGAACGGGAUUAGAUCCCCCUGUAGU